rnacentral:rRNA from 1 species
GAUGAACGCUAGCGGCAGGCUUAACACAUGCAAGUCGAGGGGUAGUUUACUUCGGUAAAUGAGACCGGCGCACGGGUGCGUAACGCGUAUGCAAUCUACCUUGUACAGGGGGAUAGCCCAGAGAAAUUUGGAUUAAUACCCCAUAGUAUUAUGAUGUGGCAUCACAUUAUUAUUAAAGUUCCAACGGUACAAGAUGAGCAUGCGUCCCAUUAGCUAGUUGGUGUGGUAACGGCAUACCAAGGCAACGAUGGGUAGGGGUCCUGAGAGGGAGAUCCCCCACACUGGUACUGAGACACGGACCAGACUCCUACGGGAGGCAGCAGUGAGGAAUAUUGGGCAAUGGUCGCAAGACUGACCCAGCCAUGCCGCGUGCAGGAUGACGGUCCUAUGGAUUGUAAACUGCUUUUGUACAGGAAGAAACACUGGUACGUGUACCAGCUUGACGGUACUGUAAGAAUAAGGAUCGGCUAACUCCGUGCCAGCAGCCGCAGUAAGAC